UUCGUUCUUAUAUUUCAGGGUAUAAACUACAAAAACAUUCGUUUGCAUUAUACAUUCGCCAUUUUACACAGCGACUACUCGGUUGUUGUGUGUUAUCCCUCCGAAAAAAACACCCGUCUUUAAGGUUCUAUUUUUGUGAGCUUCCUGUUCAAUCCUAUCAGCAACAUGGGAAAGCCAAAGGUAGCCGUCACAGAGAGAAGAGUUUCCCCGAGGCUGGCUGGGAAACUGGGAGCUAAACCUGCAGUGGAGGUAAAGAAGAAGCCUGUUGUGAAGAAGGCAGCCAAAGCUAAGAAGACCAAGGUAGCCGAGAAUGGGAGCGCGAAGGCUGAGGAGCCAAAGGCCGAAGCCACUGAAGCCAAAUGAAUAACUAUGAGCUCACUCUGUGUACUUGGUGAUUGUACAGUUUUAAAUAAGUAUUUUUUACCAAGUUUUAUAUUACAAAUGUCAUUUAUAGGUUUGUUUUGAACUUGCACUUGAUGUAACAAAACGUUUGUUGUCACAUUCAUAUCCAUUUUAUAUCCAUUUAAAAACGAUUACCGUCCAUAUCUUGUAGAGGUGGCAGAUAAAGUUUGUCUAAUCCGUUUUUGUUUUAUUUUUGUUACUGCUGAACAAUAGAUAUUUUCCAACAAGUUGGAAUCCGAAUCUAAUUUAAAACAUUUUAAGGCAGCUAAAGCAUAUUGUUAAAAUUUGAUGGAGAAUAGGAAUUUUGCCGUUAUCUCCUUGUAUUUCAAUGUAAAACUAAUAAAAUAAAAUUGCUUACCAAAUGUUUUGAUGCACUGUAUGUUGACACAAGCUCCAGUCAGUCAAACACCACAAAAAAAUACUGUUAGGUCAAAAGAUUGAUACAUCCCAAAAACAUGUAUGAUGUGAACCCAGUCAUCUGAUGAAAAGUCCUUUUAAGUUAUGUUUCUGUCCUGACUGAAGCUUUUCUGACUUAAAUGGUUGAUCUAAAUGUUGUUCAAUAAAAAUUGUCAAAAUGUC